ACGCUCGACACCUACGGGGGGCAGCAGUGGGGAAUAUUGCACAAUGGGGGAAACCCGUCGAUGCAGCGACGCCGCGUGAGCGAAGAAGUAUUUCGGUAUGUAAAGCUCUAUCAGCAGGGAAGAAACUGACGGUACCUGACUAAGAAGCACCGGCUAAAUACGUGCCAACAGCCGCGGUAAUCUGAGCGGGCUGGCAAGGC
rnacentral:rRNA from 1 species